UCGUAACAAGGUUUCCGUAGGUGAACCUGCGGAAGGAUCAUUACCGAGUGAGGGCCCUCUGGGUCCAACCUCCCACCCGUGUUUAUUUUACCUUGUUGCUUCGGCGGGCCCGCCUUUACUGGCCGCCGGGGGGCUCACGCCCCCGGGCCCGCGCCCGCCGAAGACACCCUCGAACUCUGUCUGAAGAUUGAAGUCUGAGUGAAAAUAUAAAUUAUUUAAAACUUUCAACAACGGAUCUCUUGGUUCCGGCAUCGAUGAAGAACGCAGCGAAAUGCGAUACGUAAUGUGAAUUGCAAAUUCAGUGAAUCAUCGAGUCUUUGAACGCACAUUGCGCCCCCUGGUAUUCCGGGGGGCAUGCCUGUCCGAGCGUCAUUGCUGCCCUCAAGCCCGGCUUGUGUGUUGGGCCCCGUCCUCCGAUUCCGGGGGACGGGCCCGAAAGGCAGCGGCGGCACCGCGUCCGGUCCUCGAGCGUAUGGGGCUUUGUCACCCGCUCUGUAGGCCCGGCCGGCGCUUGCCGAUCAACCCAAA
rnacentral:misc_RNA from 1 species